ensembl:snRNA U6 U6 spliceosomal RNA
GUGCCCUCUCCUGCAGCAAAUAUACUAAAAUUAGAACAAUUCAGAGACAUGAGCAUGGCUCUUGUACAAAGAUGACACACAAAUUUGUAAAGUGUUCCAUAUUUAU